UCGCCAUGGGCGAUUGGGAAAAAGAGAGUUUCCCCUUCUACCUAUCCCGACUUUUUUGCCUCAUUCAACCAAUUUCUUAGAUAGAAUGUUCGCUAGUCGUCUAACCAUUGAUCUGCAUCCUGGGUGGAUUCCCUCGACCUAGAAAUAUAGAAUAAGAGAAGAGAGAUCUAAGCGUAGAAAGAUUAGCUAACGAAUCCUCCUGGAAUGAGUGCUUUUAGAAACUAGGAUUCCGCUUGGCCGCUCUGAACUCUUGGUUUCAGCUCUUAACAAGCUAACUCCUAGGAUGAGAAGUAGGUCCCUUGUUUUUGGCAGGAAGAGUUCCAGCCUUUGUUGCCCCUCGGUAGAGUGAGUCUACUUAGCGAACUGGCAGGACGCGGAGAUCUAUUGAUCAAUAUGAAUCUCGAGAGUGGAUGGUUGAUCGCCGCCUCCUUGUCC
rnacentral:lncRNA from 1 species